GCUGAUACCUUUUACAUGUUUUUUUCUUUUUUUAUUGCAGAGUGUUUCAACGUGCCACUUGUGAAUGGCUGAUGUGUUAUCCACAAUGAAGAAACAUCCCAGGCCUGUUUUAUCAGAUUACCUCCUGAGUGUGACGGCGCUGCUAACAUGUGAUUUGGCUCAGCUGUAAUCGGCAGAUGCACUAAUGUGGAAGUCUGCCUGGGAAAAGUCGCCGUGGUUCAUUCCGUCCCAUUUGAGCCUCUCUCUGUUUGAGAUCCAGGAGGCUGAGGUUAUCCAUCACACGUGCUCGUCUGGUCGGACCCGGAGCUCAUACGUCAACGCCAGACUCGGGGAGGGGUUCCCAUCUGUGCCCCUCUCUGCCGGCAUCUCAACGAUGACAAAUGUGCCACCUGCAGUGGAAAUAUUGAGAGUUACCAGGACAUUUAUCAGGUGAAUGAAAUGGCUUCGACUAGAAGAUCUUGCAAAAAUAAGCCUGACGUAUUCUGCUACAUCUGCGGUGAAUACACCAUUGGACCUAACAGGAAUCGAGUCCCAAGUUUCAUAAAGUGUGCUUACCAAUCUUAUUUUGGUAUUAAACUUGGUGACCAAGAUAAAGUUUGGG